AUUGAACGCUGGCGGCAUGCUUUACACAUGCAAGUCGAGCGGCAGCGCGGGGGGCAACCCUGGCGGCGAGCGGCGAACGGGUGAGUAAUGCAUCGGAACGUACCCUGGAGUGGGGGAUAACGCCGCGAAAGCGGCGCUAAUACCGCAUAUGCUCUGAGGAGGAAAGUGGGGGACCGCAAGGCCUCACGCUCUGGGAGCGGCCGAUGUCCGAUUAGCUAGUUGGUGAGGUAAAGGCUUACCAAGGCGACGAUCGGUAGCUGGUCUGAGAGGAUGAUCAGCCACACUGGGACUGAGACACGGCCCAGACUCCUACGGGAGGCAGCAGUGGGGAAUUUUGGACAAUGGGGGCAACCCUGAUCCAGCCAUGCCGCGUGAGUGAAGAAGGCCU
rnacentral:rRNA from 1 species